GCCGCCUUAGCUCAUCUGGUAGAGCAAUGAUCUUGUAAGUCAUAGGUGAUCGGUUCGAGUCCGAUAGGCGGCUCAA
rnacentral:tRNA from 1 species